AUACGGAGGGUGCAAGCGUUGUCCGGAUUCACUGGGCGUAAAGCGCGCGUAGGCGGCUACUUAAGUCAGAUGUGAAAUCCCCGGGCUCAACCUGGGAACUGCAUCUGAUACUGGGUAGCUAGAGUUUAGGAGAGGGAAGUAGAAUUUCAGGUGUAGUGGUGAAAUGCAUAGAGAUCUGAAGGAAUACCAGUGGCGAAGGCGGCUUCCUGGCCUAAAACUGACGCUGAGGUGCGAAAGCGUGGGUAGCAAACGGGAUUAGAAACCCCUGUAGUCC
rnacentral:rRNA from 1 species